UGCGAAUCUCGAAAGCCAUCUCAGUUCGGAUUGGAGGCUGAAACCCGCCUCCAUGAAGUUGGAUUCGCUAGUAAUCGCGCAUCAGCCAUGGCGCGGUGAAUACGUUCCCGGGCCUUGUACACACCGCCCGUCAAGCCAUGGGAGCUGGGGGUGCCUGAAGUUCGUGACCGCAAGGAUCGACCUAGGGCAAAACCGGUGACUGGGGCUAAGUCGUAACAAGGUAUC
rnacentral:rRNA from 1 species